ensembl:lncRNA
GUUUCUUCUCUGCGAUGCCUGUCAUGCCACCCUGCCUUGGAGCCUUCUGAUUAUGAACCUUUACCAACUGCGGGACUCAAGACUCCUCCCGGGAGAGAACACAGAAGGGCUCAUGCCCUGUGCCCUGAGGAGCUCAGAGCUCAGAGACGGUGGCUCCAGGUCUGCAUGGGCUCGUCAUUCCUGCUCAAGACCCCAGAGCCCUCGGAGAAGACACCCCCAGACUCCUCCUCGGCCAUCAUGGGCAGAAAGCACAGGCGACCAGGGACCCAGCUGAGCCGUCUUAGGAUGUCCUUGCUCUCUCCACCGCAGCUCUGGUGUCCAUGACCGGGAGGGAAAGCGGGAAGAGGAAAGGCGGGAGGGGCCACUAGGCCACUCCGAGGCUGGGAAGUGGAUGUUUUGUGUUCUGCUCCAACUUUCCCUGCUCAGAGCGAGGUGCAGCUCCCUCCCGCACCCGCGACUGCCCCUGGCUGGGUGGGAGGACGACACGGAACCCAGGCAGGAAUCAGCGCACAGAACAGUGCAGCAAUCAGCACGGCACCGCCUUUAUUCAGCUCUGCUGCUGUGCCCUGGGGACUGGGUCGGGGCUGGAGCCUGGGGGGCCGACCAGGCCCCGGAGACACACCAUCCUCCUUGAGGAAGAGCCGAGUGGGGCACAAAGGGUCAGGAAAGGCAGCCCUGAGCCACGGGAAGAGCCCAGUUUCCACGGUGCUGGUAAAUGGCAAAGCCCUGGGGUGGGAGCUGCGCCCGGGACAGAAAGGACAGAAAACAGGAGAGGGGCCGGAUCUGCUUUGGAUCCCCGCGCAGGGCUCCAGCUCCCGGCGUUGCUGGAACAGAAUCGCGGCCGGCGGGGCCGGGCUCCGAGGACAGGCGCGGUGCCGCAGCGGGCCCUUCGGAAGACAGCUCGGGUCGCGGCUGCUUCAUCCCGUAGGUACUUCCAGGCGGCGCAGCCGACCUGGGGCUUCGGCCUCCCUGCGCAGCGCGACGGUGAUCACGGUCACGGGGCGGCGGCUGCGGAGCAGAAACCACAGUGAGGCGGAGCCCUCGGAUUCCCGCGUCUGCCCCGGCGGGGAGAGACCCGUCUGUCCCUGUCCACCUUGUACCGUGGACACUCCUUGAGAGAACAGAGCAGACAAAGGGAGAGCAGAGCCCGGAGGACUCGGACGGGGUCGCGCUGCUCCACCGACGUCCUGGGUGAGACUACGGAGACAGCCAGGGAGUUCUAGGUCGCCCCAUGUCCCGGAGCCCCGGGAGGCAGCCCUUCGCGGAGAGGCUCUGUGGAAAGAAUGAGUAGAGAAUAACCGCCAACGACGUCUCGGCCGUUAGCCACGCCCACCCGCGGACACGCGCACACCACGUCCACCUCGGCAGCCAAUCAGAAGCCCUGCUCCAGCCCCGCCCCGCCCACCCUGGGCUUCCAGAACUUUCCACAGUUUAAGAGAACAACUGCCAUAGGGGAUGCUGGGGUGGGGGAGACCGUGGCCGUGGGUGUGGGGACCUGAGGCAGUGGCUCCCAGGACAUGGGGUGCUGGGGGCCUUCACAGGGGGACAGCCGAGUGCAGGCUGGGCAGCACCUCAGGGUUGCUGGACCAAGGACACCUGCGACACAGGGUUACCAGGAAGGGACGCAAGCUGAGGCUAAAACUACAAGUCAGACCCUCCAGUGCCAACCGCUGACCUCUCAGCCAAGUCUCUGUCCUGAGGCAGAAGUGCCUGAAUGGGCGAGGCUGGCUUGUGGGGCCCACACCCCUAACUGGAAGUUUGCAAAAAAUAAAACAUCUGGUCCCUCCUGCCCCUGCUACAGUGCCUGGGAAACCUUGUCUUCAGAAUGGCAGGGGUACAGCCAAUGGGAGAGGGUUGCUGAGCAGAUGAGACUGCCCUUGACCAAUGAGAAGAGGAGCUUGUCUUGAAGACCAGUGCGUCCUCAAAAGUUCAGCUGCACCAGUGUGUUUGAGCCUUACAGCUCUUAAAAAUUGGCCUAUAAUUCAUGUGAAGAGGGUGAUCACUCUGAGAUGGGUCUUCAAGGGGCCACCAGGUGGAUCAGAACCAUGCCGCCGUUGUUUGGGACCCUCGCUGACCUCUGUCCUCCUUCCACACCUUCCCAGCCACCUCCCCUGGGGCUGUGCUCUCCGUCCAUGGUGUCCGAAGACUUGGGUCCUGCUGGACCUCAGCGUGAGGUCCCCACCUUGGCGACGUUUGCACUGGGCUGUCUUGGAAGAGGGCGGGUGUGGCCUGUGGCACGGCCCUCAAGCACAGAACACGAGGAGCCCAGUGACAGCCAGGGAGCACCAGGUCGCAGUCCCCAGCCCCGGCCUGCAAUGGGAGCCACACAGGGUGGGGCCGCCAUCUCCCCUGGCCAGUGUCCCCGUGGGGAAGGUAUGGGGAGGGGGUGGGGACGGGCCGCCCUGCCCCACCUCGGGACCCAAUCCUUGGGACAAAGAGGCCCGAGCUGCGGGGAUCCGCCCUUCAGAGGAGUGCACACCCAG